rnacentral:rRNA from 1 species
UACAGAGGGGGCAAGCGUUGUUCGGAAUUACUGGGCGUAAAGGGCGCGUAGGCGGCCCGCUAAGUCGAACGUGAAAUCCCCGAGCUCAACUCGGGAACUGCGUCCGAUACUGGUGGGCUUGAAUCCGGGAGAGGGAUGCGGAAUUCCAGGUGUAGCGGUGAAAUGCGUAGAUAUCUGGAGGAACACCGGUGGCGAAGGCGGCAUCCUGGACCGGCAUUGACGCUGAGGAGCGAAAGCGUGGGGAGCAAACAGG